GUAGGUGGCAAGCGUUGUCCGGAAUUAUUGGGCGUAAAGCGCGCGCAGGGCGGUCCUUUAAGUCUGAUGUGAAAGCCCACGGCUCAACCGUGGAGGGUCAUUGGAAACUGGGGGACUUGAGUACAGAAGAGGAAAGCGGAAUUCCAAGUGUAGCGGUGAAAUGCGUAGAGAUUUGGAGGAACACCAGUGGCGAAGGCGGCUUUCUGGUCCGUAACUGACGCUGAGGCGCGAAAGCGUGGGGAGCAAACAGGAUUAGAUACCCUGGUAGUCCACGCCGUAAACGAUGAGUGCUAAGUGUUAGGGGGUUUCCGCCCCUUAGUGCUGCAGCUAACGCAUUAAGCACUCCGCCUGGGGAGUACGGCCGCAAAGGCUG
rnacentral:rRNA from 1 species